rnacentral:ncRNA from 1 species
GCACCUACAGAGAGGUUGCACCAUCCCAAAAGUGCACACAACCUCCACCCCGCAUUUCGCAUGCGUGCGCACCGACAACCCAGAAACCAAUUUUCAAACCGACAAUCGCACGCCCGUGCACCUACAGAGAGAUUGCACCACCCUACCGCCCUCAAUUGCCUUGGGCAAAGGCGGCAGCGGGGAAAACAUGAACAUAUAAGCAUACACUCGUAGUGAGAAAGGGCCAAGCAGUUGGGGCGGUACAUCUGUGAAAUAAUAGCGCAGCUGUCCUAAAGCAAGCUCAAUGGGAACAGAAAUAUCAUGUCGACCAAAAUAAGAAAAGCUUGCUUGAUUUUGAUUUUCAGUACGAAUACAAACUGUGAAAGCGUGGCCUAUCGAUCCUUUAGGUCUUAGAAACUUUCAGCUAGAGGUGUAGGGAAAGUUACCACAGGGAUAACUGGCUUGCGGCAACCAAGCGUUCAUAGCGACGUUGCUUUUGGAUCCUUCGAUGUCGACUCUUCUACCAGGUCGUGAACUAUGUUUGAUUUACGUAGGUUUGUGUU